AACGAACGCUGGCGGCAGGCUUAACACAUGCAAGUCGAGCGGAGAUGAGGUGCUUGCACCUUAUCUUAGCGGCGGACGGGUGAGUAAUGCUUAGGAAUCCGCCUAUUAGUGGGGGACAACAUUCCGAAAGGAAUGCUAAUACCGCAUACGCCCUACGGGGGAAAGCAGGGGAUCUUCGGACCUUGCGCUAAUAGAUGAGCCUAAGUCGGAUUAGCUAGUUGGUGGGGUAAAGGCCUACCAAGGCGACGAUCUGUAGCGGGUCUGAGAGGAUGAUCCGCCACACUGGGACUGAGACACGGCCCAGACUCCUACGGGAGGCAGCAGUGGGGAAUAUUGGACAAUGGGCGGAAGCCUGAUCCAGCCAUGCCGCGUGUGUGAAGAAGGCCUUUUGGUUGUAAAGCACUUUAAGCGAGGAGGAGGCUACCUGGAUUAAUACUCUAGGAUAGUGGACGUUACUCGCAGAAUAAGCACCGGCUAACUCUGUGCCAGCCGCCGCCGUAAUAC
rnacentral:rRNA from 1 species